CUGAAUGUGUGGCCAGAACUGCUUCAGAAAAACUUGCUGGCAGCAGUGCACAGAACAGAUUAGAGAGUGAGGCCAGAGGCAGGGACUUUCUUUAGGAGGCUCCUAAAAGAAGCCAGGAGAUGGGCUGGGGAUAUAGCUCAGUGGGUAGAGUGCUUGCCUCGCAUGCACAAGGCCAGGGGUUCAAUCUCCAGCACCUCAAGGGGAAAAAUAAAAAAGAAGAAGCCAGGAGAGGGAGGGGCAGGAACCUGACCCAGGCUAUGGCACUGAGAACAAAGACAGGACACAGGUCUGGUGGCCAGGGCCUGGUGACUGAGGGAUGGGUGUGCAAGGUGGAGACCUCAAGUGAGAAGCGAGUCUAGUGUGUGUAGGGGGGGUGAAAGGUGUCAUUAAUCAGAUGACACCCCUGCACGAGACCUCAUCACAGGGCUGGACAGGGACUGAUUCGUGCCGCUGGGUGGUUGUGAGUUAAAAUUACACAAUGGAUACUGUGUGUUCUGCUCCGUCCCUAUCCCGAGCUCACGGACUGAACCCUUUCUCUUCUGCUUCUCCUUUCUGCUCUCCUUCCCUUCCUCCCUCAUGUUUUCCGAGGAUGCUCCUUCCUCUUUAGCAGACACCCUGGAAUGAGCAGCUGCGCUAGAGGAGCUAUGGAAUAAUAUCCAAUCAGGGAAAGGUUAUGAGUCUGAGAUUAUAAUUAUGGUGUCUCCCUGUGUCUCCUGUGUGGUAAGAAGCCAGCCUUGGCAGCGUUAGCUAAAAGCAAGCUCAGUUCCUCCUCGGAGCAGCCCCUGGACCUCAGAUUACUGCCAGACCCUCCAGUGCAUGCACGCGGCCCACCCCCUUGACCCCCAAGAGAAGUGGAUCUGUCUGCUCCUCACUGCUUCUCUCCAACCAGGAGAAACUGGAAUUCAUGUUCACAAGGACGCCAGCCUGUGGGUGAUGUGUCCUCAGAUCCAGUCCUCGCCCUGCCCAUGUCCAUUAGGCGACUGGCCCUAGGACUGUGUUUUCCAGGCUUCUGUAAGAUCACGUGAUUUGGGGACUGUCCAACUCAAAAUGAAAGAAGCCAAGCCAUGUGGCAAGCAGCCCCGCCCCUGGGGGUGGAGCCCCCUUCCCACCCUGUGUCCCCCAACUGCGGGGGAGACUCGCCUCCUGCUGAUCUCACCCUCCCCUCCGCGCGGGGCUGUGAAGUGUCUAAUCCAGACUUUUAUCUGGCAUCCACAAUUAUCAUGUCAAGAUUGAAUAAUCUGCCUUUAUCUCCCGGGUGACAGCCAUGUAGAAACUUCAAAAGAAACAGUUUUGCUGGCAUCUAACGGCUUUUGUUAAUUACUAUAUCCCAAAGAAAAUGAAAUAAAGGAGGAAGAAAAAUGAUA